rnacentral:tRNA from 3 species
GCCCGCGUAGCUCAGGGGAUAGAGCGUCUGCCUCCGGAGCAGAAGGCCGCAGGUUCGAAUCCUGCCGCGGGCACCA